GACGAACGCUGGCGGCGUGCUUAACACAUGCAAGUCGAGCGGAGCGGCGAACGGGUGAGUAACGCGUGAGUAACUGCCCCCCUCUCUGGGAUAACAGUUGGACACGGCUGCUAAUACCGGAUAGUGGGGGAUGCCUCGCGACCUCUCAGCUUUUUGGGUGGGUAGUGGCCUACCAAGGCGACGCCGGGUAGCCGGCCUUGAGGGGCGACCGGCCACAUUGGGCUGGGGUACGGCCCACAGUCCUACUGGGGCCAGGAGUGUGGAAUGCUGUGCAAUGGGGGAAAACCUGAUGCAGGAACGCCGCGUGUGGGAUGACGGCCUUCGGGUUGUAAUCCGCUUUCAGACAUGACGCGGUAGUGGCAGAAGAAGCACCGGCUAACUACGUGCCAGCAGCCGCGGUAAUUC
rnacentral:rRNA from 1 species